UACGGGGGGGAGCAAGCGUUGUUCGGAUUUACUGGGCGUAAAGGGCGCGUAGGCGGUCGUGACAAGUCACUUGUGAAAUCUCUGGGCUUAACUCGGAACGGUCAAGUGAUACUGUCGUGCUAGAGUACAGAAGGGGCAACUGGAAUUCUCGGUGUAGCGGUGAAAUGCGUAGAUAUCGAGAGGAACACCUGCGGCGAAGGCGGGUUGCUGGGCUGAUACUGACGCUGAGGCGCGAAAGCUAGGGGAGCGAACGGG
rnacentral:rRNA from 1 species